CUUUCAGGUUGGAUCCUGCUGGAGUCCGAUGGUUGAAACCAGGUCCGAGGAAGUAUUUGUGUGAACUCACCCUGGAUCCAAACACAGCGAACAAACACCUCAAACUGUCUGAAAACAACAAGAAGGUGGAAUAUGUGGAGAAGCCUCAGUCCUAUCCUGAUCAUCAGGACAGAUUUGAUCACUGGCCUCAGCUGAUGAGUUCCACUGGUAUGACAGGUCGCUGUUACUGGGAGGUCCAGUGGAGUGGAGACAUUAGGAUAUCAGUGACUUACAGAGGAAUCGGAAGGAAAGGAGACAGUUUAGACUGUGGCUUUGGAAGAAAUGAUCAGUCCUGGAGUCUGAGGUGUUUUAGAGGUGAAUACAAUGUCUGGCAU